UGGGGGCAGCAGUGAUUGCUCUAAAAAAAUGGUUUUGUUUAAAGGCUUUUUAGGCAGACGGAGGGGAACAGGAAGGACGAAAGCUUCCCCUGUUGAAUAUCCGCCUGCUGCCUAGAUUUUUAAGUGCACAGGAAUGCAACGUUGGAUUUUUCUUUCGUUUGCAUGUGUUUCAAGAAAUCCUGCUAACAGCAUCUGGCUAGUGGGAUGGAGUCAAAGGUUUUCCCUAUUUUUCAAAGGAGGAUAUUUCACAGUUCAAGCCAAUGAAGAUUUAAAUCGAUUUUUAGAAAUCUGAUCCAUUUUCUAGAGUGAUUUAUUGGACAGGUGGAGUUAAAGCUCACUCUUGUUUUUGUUUUACAAAAGAACAUGAAAAAAUUAAUAGUUUUUUUGGUUUGGAUUAUAUUUUGUUGUUGGAUUUUUAUAGGAGCCAACCUGGAAGCCACUCCAAAGGAUGGCACUCAUAACUUUCAGAUAUCACACUUCAUCAUUUAGAAGCCAGAGCUGUCUUAGACUUCACUGCAUGUCCACAACUAGGAUUUCUGCAUCAUUGAACUAAGUGGGAUGUACUUCUGCGCAGACAUGUAAGCAAGCCACUCUGGGAGCCUUUUUGGCGGAAGAGUAGGAUACAAAUACUAGUCUAAAUAAAGCUUUGCGGAAAUGUUUUGAACAUCCGCUCGCUGCUCAUAAAUGUGAUUUCAGGUCAGAGAAUCCUCACUGUGCUGUUUUUGUACCAAGAGCAAACAGCUCCAGAAAUUUGAACCUGGGUCUCCGUAGCCCGUAUCCUAUAGACAAAAACGAGGCGUCUCUUCUGUGCCACAACCUACUUCCUUCCCUGGAGUUGCUGUGGUUAUCAGGUCAGUGGGCUUUUGCCCAAACUAUCCAGCAGAGGGCUCUUUGCAGAAGGAAUUAACUCGCAGCUCUCUGUGGCAAGCUUGUCAUAUCGAGACGAAGCUCCCACAAAUUAUUAUAACAUGCCUGCUAAUAACAGAAGGGCGAGAUGGAUAUGGAGCACACAGGGAGCAUCUUUCUUGGAGGUGUUACUUUCGAAGGAGCAGAGAGUCGGCCCAGGAUACCUGAAGGAGCAUCUCCACCCCCAUCGUUCUGCCCGGACGCUGAGGUCCAGCGCUGAGGGCCUUCUGGUGGUUCCCUCCCUGCAAGAAGUGAGGUUACAGGGUACCAGGCAGAGGGCCUUCUCGGUGGUGGCGCCCACCCUGUGGAACGCCCUCCCAUCAGAUGUCAAAGAAAUAAGCAACUACCUAACAUUUAGAAGACAUCUGACGGCAGCCCUGUUUAGGGAAGUUUUUAACGACUAAUAUUUUAAUGUAUUUUUUAUCUUUUGUUGGGAGCCACUCAGAGUGGCUGGGGAAACCCAGCCAGAUGGGCGGGAUAUAAAUAAUAAAUAAAUGAUAAUAAUACCUCA